CAAUAGCGUAUAUUAAAGUUGUUGCAGUUAAAAAGCUCGUAGUUGAAUUUUUGCUUGCCGCCGAUGUCGGAACUUCCGUACGUUCGGCGGCGUGCAUCCUUGGGUGGAACCUGUGUGGCAUUAGGUUGUCGUGCAGGGGAUGCUCAUCGUUUACUGUGAAAAAAUUAGAGUGUUCAAAGCAGGCUUACGCCGUUGAAUAUAUUAGCAUGGAAUAAUAAGAUAGGACCUUGUUACUAUUUUGUUGGUUUGCGCACCGAGGUAAUGAUUAACAGGGACAGUUGGGGGUAUUCGUAUUCCAUUGUCAGAGGUGAAAUUCUUGGAUUUCUGGAAGACGAACUACUGCGAAAGCAUUUACCAAGGAUGUUUUCAUUAA
rnacentral:rRNA from 1 species